AAGUCUCAACUUUGCUUGUCUUUUUUGUCGAGCGAAGGUUGGAUUUUGGAGCGUGCUGGCGAAGGUCGGCUCCUCUUUAAAUGCAUUAGCGGAAAGGUCAUAUUUGACUUUUGCGGUGAAUCGGCGUGAUAAUAACGUUGUUGCGUCGUUGGCCCAAAAGCUCUCUGUCCGCUUACAAUGGUCUUCGGACGACUUAUUAUGAA
rnacentral:misc_RNA from 1 species